GAUGAACGCUGGCGGCGUGCCUAAUACAUGCAAGUCGAGCGAACGGACGAGAAGCUUGCUUCUCUGAUGUUAGCGGCGGACGGGUGAGUAACACGUGGAUAACCUACCUAUAAGACUGGGAUAACUUCGGGAAACCGGAGCUAAUACCGGAUAAUAUUUUGAACCGCAUGGUUCAAAAGUGAAAGACGGUCUUGCUGUCACUUAUAGAUGGAUCCGCGCUGCAUUAGCUAGUUGGUAAGGUAACGGCCUACCAAGGCAACGAUGCAUAGCCGACCUGAGAGGGUGAUCGGCCACACUGGAACUGAGACACGAUCCAGACUCCUACGGGAGGCAGCAGUAGGGAAUCUUCCGCAAUGGGCGAAAGCCUGACGGAGCAACGCCGCGUGAGUGAUGAAGGUCUUCGGAUCGUAAAACUCUGUUAUUAGGGAAGAACAUAUGUGUAAGUAACUGUGCACAUCUUGACGGUACCUAAUCAGAAAGCCACGGCUAACUACGUG
rnacentral:rRNA from 1 species